GUCCAACUGACGAGUCCCAAAUAGGACGAAACACGCGUCAAACUGGAU
rnacentral:hammerhead_ribozyme from 1 species